UACAGAGGUCUCAAGCGUUGUUCGGAUUCAUUGGGCGUAAAGGGUGUGUAGGUGGCGCGCUAAGUCGGGUGUGAAAUCUCGGAGCUUAACUCCGAAACUGCAUUCGAUACUGCCGUGCUUGAGGACUGGAGAGGAGACUGGAAUUUACGGUGUAGCGGUGAAAUGCGUAGAUAUCGUAAGGAAGACCAGUGGCGAAGGCGGGGUCUCUGGACAGUUCCUGACGCUGAGGCACGAAGGCCAGGGGAGCAAACGGG
rnacentral:rRNA from 1 species